rnacentral:rRNA from 1 species
UUGAGAGAAGGGAUGACACAGUAGGAUAAGCUAAGCACACUGUUGGUUAUGUGUGCCCAAGCAUUGAGGCAGUCAAAGUAGGCAAAUCCGCUUUGAUAAUGCUGGGGUGUGAUGGGGAGCGAAAUUUAGUAGCGAAGUAGCUGAUUUCACACUGUCAAGAAAAGUCUCUAUCGAGGUUAAAGGUACCCGUACCGCAAACCGACACAGGUGGGU